rnacentral:rRNA from 1 species
UAUGUUAGCUUGCUUAUAUAUUUAGUAGCAAAUGGGUGAGUAACACGUACCUAACCUACCUUUUGGACCGGGAUAACUAUUGGAAACAGCAGCUAAUACCGGAUAGAAUAAAAAAAUGCAUGUUUUUUUAUUAAAAGGAGCCUUUAAAGCUCCACCAAAAAAUGGGGGUGCGCAACAUUAGUUAGUUGGUAGGGUAAAGGCCUACCAAGACGAUGAUGUUUAGCGGGGCCAAGAGGCUGUACCGCCACACUGGGAUUGAGAUACGGCCCAGACUCCUACGGGAGGCAGCAGUAAGGAAUAUUCCACAAUGAGCGAAAGCUUGAUGGAGCGACACAGAGUGCAG